GAUAUAUGCCAGUAAAAUGGUGUAUUUUUAAUUUCUUUCAAUAAAAACAUUUCUGAUGAUAUAUGUAAACAAAAUUAUUAA
rnacentral:misc_RNA from 1 species